rnacentral:sRNA from 12 species
CCCUGACAGUCGCAUGGUGCGGCUGACAUUAGCCACGACAGGAGAUUCACAUG